UACGGAGGGGGCUAGCGUUGUUCGGAAUUACUGGGCGUAAAGCGCGCGUAGGCGGAUGUUCAAGUCGGGGGUGAAAUCCCGGGGCUCAACCCCGGAACUGCCUCCGAUACUGGAUGUCUAGAGGACGGGAGAGGCGAGUGGAAUGCCGAGUGUAGAGGUGAAAUUCGUAGAUAUUCGGCGGAACACCCGUGGCGAAGGCGGCUCGCUGGUCCGUUUCUGACGCUGAGGCACGAAAGCGUGGGUAGCGAACAGG
rnacentral:misc_RNA from 1 species